rnacentral:rRNA from 1 species
GAUGAACGCUGGCGGCGUGCCUAAUACAUGCAAGUCGAGCGAACGGACGAGAAGCUUGCUUCUCUGAUGUUAGCGGCGGACGGGUGAGUAACACGUGGAUAACCUACCUAUAAGACUGGGAUAACUUCGGGAAACCGGAGCUAAUACCGGAUAAUAUUUUGAACCGCAUGGUUCAAAAGUGAAAGACGGUCUUGCUGUCACUUAUAGAUGGAUCCGCGCUGCAUUAGCUAGUUGGUAAGGUAACGGCUUACCAAGGCAACGAUGCAUAGCCGACCUGAGAGGGUGAUCGGCCACACUGGAACUGAGACACGGUCCAGACUCCUACGGGAGGCAGCAGUAGGGAAUCUUCCGCAAUGGGCGAAAGCCUGACGGAGCAACGCCGCGUGAAUGAUGAAGGUCUUCGGAUCGUAAAACUCUGUUAUUAGGGAAGAACAUAUGUGUAAGUAACUGUGCACAUCUUGACGGUACCUAAUCAGAAAGCCACGGCUAGCUACGUG